AUGACGACAACGAAGAAGAAGAAGAGGAAGAAGAAGACGAUGACGAGGGGAUACUGAAGAAGAGAAGACAGAGAGAUAGAAGAGGAGAUCGAGAGAGAUAAAGACAGAGAGUGAAGAGGAGAUCGUGACUAGAUCGAAGGCGAUGUAACAGAGAUCGAAGGCUAUGUAAUAGAUCGAAGACGUGUCCGAGAAACCCAUGCCCUAAACCAGCGAAUCCAUGUAACAGAUCGACGGCGACACCAGAAACGCAAUUCCUACACGUUUCUUUCUAGGAAACGCGGAAUCGCGAUUCUUACUCAGAAUCGCCACCUGGUUGCGUGAUUCCUGCAACUAAGAGCUGCAUA